AUGGUCACCAGCCUCAGCAAAAUCGAAUCCCAAUUUGGCAUGUUGACCAUGUAUUUGGACAUGCCCCGCAUGGACGACUAUCUGCAGCUGCAGCAGGACUUCAUCGCUUGCACAGUCCGCACCAAGCAUGGCUGCGCCACUCACCCAUGGAGCAUCGCUAAGAGGGAAAGAAGAGCAAGCAAUAGCAAGAGGCUAAGGAGGCUGCAAGACCUCGUGCCCAAUAUGGACAAGCAAACAACUACGUCAGACAAAGAUCUGGAGUACUUGCUCAUAUCUGAAAAUUGGGGGGAAUCAUGGCUAGAGCAUAUGUGA
rnacentral:rRNA from 1 species